GCCCAGGUGGCGAAAUGGCAGACGCGCAACGUUGAGGUCGUUGUGGAGCAAUCCAUGCGGGUUCAAGUCCCGCCCUGGGCA
rnacentral:tRNA from 1 species